rnacentral:rRNA from 1 species
CCUACGGGUGGCAGCAGUGGGGAAUAUUGGACAAAGGGCGAAAGCCUGAUCCAGCCAUGCCGCGUGUGUGAAGAAGGCCUUCGGGUUGUAAAGCACUUUCAGUGGGGAAGAAAGCCUUGGGGCUAAUACCCUCGAGGAAGGACAUCACCCACAGAAGAAGCACCGGCUAACUCCGUGCCAGCAGCCGCGGUAAUACGGAGGGUGCGAGCGUUAAUCGGAAUUACUGGGCGUAAAGCGCGCGUAGGCGGUCUGAUAAGCCGGUUGUGAAAGCCCCGGGCUCAACCUGGGAACGGCAUCCGGAACUGUCAGGCUAGAGUGCAGGAGAGGAAGGUAGAAUUCCCGGUGUAGCGGUGAAAUGCGUAGAGAUCGGGAGGAAUACCAGUGGCGAAGGCGGCCUUCUGGACUGACACUGACGCUGAGGUGCGAAAGCGUGGGUAGCAAACAGGAUUAGAUACCCGUGUAGUC